rnacentral:rRNA from 1 species
CCUACGGGAGGCUGCAGUGGGGAAUAUUGGACAAUGGGGGCAACCCUGAUCCAGCCAUGCCGCGUGUGUGAAGAAGGCCCUCGGGUUGUAAAGCACUUUCAGUGAGGAAGAACGCCUGGUGGUUAAUACCCAUCAGGAAAGACAUCACUCACAGAAGAAGCACCGGCUAACUCCGUGCCAGCAGCCGCGGUAAUACGGAGGGUACGAGCGUUAAUCGGAAUUACUGGGCGUAAAGCGCGCGUAGGUGGCUUGAUAAGCCGGUUGUGAAAGCCCCGGGCUCAACCUGGGAACGGCAUCCGGAACUGUCAAGCUAGAGUGCAGGAGAGGAAGGUAGAAUUCGCGGUGUAGCGGUGAAAUGCGUAGAGAUCGGGAGGAAUACCAGUGGCGAAGGCGGCCUUCUGGACUGACACUGACACUGAGGUGCGAAAGCGUGGGUAGCAAACAGGAUUAGAUACCCUAGUAGUC